GAAAUGCGAUAAGUAAUGUGAAUUGCAGAAUUCAGUGAAUCAUCGAAUCUUUGAACGCACCUUGCGCUCCUUGGUAUUCCUUGGAGCAUGCCUGUUUGAGUAUCAUGAAAUCUUCAAAGUAAAUCUUUUGUUAACUCAAUUGGUUUCUACUUGGGUAUUGGAGGUCUUUGCAGCUUCACACCUGCUCCUCUUUGUUCAUUAGCUGGAUCUCAGUGUUAUGCUUGGUUCCACUCGGCGUGAUAAGUUAUCUAUCGCUGAGGACACUGUAAAAGGUGGCCAAGGUAAAUGCAGAUGAACCGCUUCUAAUAGUCCAUUGACUUGGACAAUACUUUUAUGAUCUGAUCUCAAAUCAGGUAGGACUACCCGCUGAACUUAAGC
rnacentral:misc_RNA from 1 species